rnacentral:tRNA from 1 species
AGCUCAGCCGGAUAGAGUAGUGGCUUCCGAAGCCAUUGGUCGGGGGUUCGAAUCCCUCC